rnacentral:rRNA from 1 species
GACGAACCGUGCAAACGUUGUUCGGAAUCACUGGGCUUAAAGGGCGCGUAGGCGGGCCAGCCAGUCUGUGGUGAAAGCCUCCAGCUUAACUGGAGAAGUGCCGUGGAUACUGCUGGCCUCGAGGAGGAUAGGGGCAUCUGGAACGGUCGGUGGAGCGGUGAAAUGCGUUGAUAUCGACCGGAACUCCGAUGGCGAAGGCAGCUCCUCGUGGACGGUACUGACGCUGAGACGCGAAAGCGUGGGGAGCAACAGGAU